GGUGGGCAUGGAAGGAGGCAGAGGGAGGCCCAUCCAGGAGAAGCAGACCCUCAUCGCUGAGUAUAUAUAUUUUUUAUUCUAAGAGCAAUGGAAAUCCUUUGAUCUGUUUCAAGCAGAGACAGAGGAAGAAAGAGAGAGAACCUGGCCACAAGGGGUGUGGGAGUAAGGACUCAGUGACAAGGCUCAGGUCUCUGAUGCUCACUGAGGACCAACUUCCUGGGCAAGCUUUGGCUGGUGUGGGGAACGGGGCAGACUGGGAGCUCUGCAGCCCCUCUGGGUUUCAGCCUCCUCACCUAGAAAAGGAAGACACUGGAAAAUCUCCAAGGUGACAUUCAUUCCUCCUGGGUUCCAUGGUUCAACAACUUGGUGCAUCGGUUUGCAUGAUAUGGAGUCUGGCCUGCUGAUGUUAACUUGUUCUAUCAGAAGGUAAAUGUCUAAUCUGUUCAUUCUUUUGCCUUAGAUGUACUAUGAAGAGGAGAAUUAGGGUUUCCUCUUGCUGAGAGGAACUUAAGGAGUCAGGAGCCACAGAGCACCCUUUAUUCCACCCUUUCCAAGGGAUGGAUGGCUAGAACUGAAGUGUGUCCCUGUGCCCAGAAUGGACACCGGCCCUGCUAUUCUCCCCCAGCUCGUGGGCCUGGUGGAGAAGAGCCAUGACCUUGUUGGAUCUGUCCUUUGGAAGAAUCCCCUUGCUAAGAAUAUGAUGCCAGGUCCCCAGGGCACACUGAGGUAGAGUCCUGGACCCCUUCCAGCACAGAUCUGAGGGGCUCAGGGUCAUGCCCGCUGGCACAGUCCUCUCCUUUCUGAAGACCCAUGAAUGGCAGCUGUCCUCUCCUUCACAUAUUCUCUCUGCCUGGCCCUGGAAGGAAGAAAAGGUCACGGACAAGGGGCCUUUCCCCUCCUUUCCUUGGAUAAGCAAGCAAAGUUUAAUUUCUUUUUUUUUUUUUUUUGAGACAGAGUCUUACUUUAUCGCCCUCGGUAGAGUGCCAUGGUGUCACAGCUCACAGCAACAUCCAACUCUUGGGCUUAGGCAAUUCUCUUGCCUCAGCCUCCCCGGUAGCUGGGACUACAGGCGCCCGCCACAAGCCCGGCUGUUUUUGUUGCAGUUUGGCUGGCCAGGCUCCAACCCGCCACCCUCAGUAUAUGGGGCCGGCACCCUACCCACUGAGCCAUCAAAGUUUUAAUUUCUAACUCAAAAGCUGAAAGAGUGGCUCUGGGAGAGAGAAAAAAGCAUCCAGGUCCCUGGGAAGCCCUCAGGGCUAGCAGGGCUCAAAGCACCUCCUGUCCUGCCCUGCCCUCUCCCAUCCCCUGUACCACCUGCUCCUUCUCUGGGCACUGUGGCAGCAGCACUGGCCUCUUCUCAUGGACACUGUCUCUCAGUGCCCAGGGGCCUGGCUCCAUAGGAGCCAGGAAGUCACUCUGAACUUCUGACCAGGUGUUAGGAAUGCUCUAUCUUCACUGAACAUGUGGCUGGAGCUUUUAUGUGCAGGGCCUGUGAUCCUGGGCAAACGAUAGUGUGCCUUUUCUGGGGAGAAGGUAGCCUUGAAGUGCCCCAAAUUUCUGGCAUGGUUCUUGUUAAGCUGGGGGACUCCUUAUCAUGUGCCUCCAGAAACCCACAUAGGACUGGCUUAGUGAGGGCGCACUGGCUGGAGUCUCCUGGUGUCUCUUCCUGUUGUGAACUGGGGUCAGAGGAUCUUUCCUCUGGGGCCAAGAAUGUAAGGAGCUGGUUGCUCUGGGGGAUAGCUAGUAGUAUUCUCAUUCAGCAGAUUUGGAAAUAAGGCUGAUGGCUGAUCAUGACAUCAAGGAGCCUGUCUCUCUAGUUUCUUCUGUCAUGGAAUGUCUGGGCAGGAAUGUGGUGGUGAGGAAGCUGGCAAGUUGGGGCAGCCUUGGGAACAGGGAUUUCUAGGUGAGAGAUAAAAAUGGGCCCUCCCUCCGGGCCCCGCCGUCAGAGCCAACAGUGAAGACUAUGUCUGCCACCUUCAUGAAGUAGGUUUUUGACAUUUUUCUCCUUUGAGUGACUUCCUUAUGUUCUGUUUCAUGCUGUUGACCAUUAUCAGGGAGUGUAUAUGGCCCCUUCUCCCCACAUACAGCCUGCCUGGUCCUCUAACUAUACUGAAAGUGCCAGAGCUGCUCUGAUAGAAGGGCCUGGGUGUAGGAAGGAGGCUGUGGGGAGGAAGCUGCCAAGGCCACCUGGGACGUGCUCACGAUGACAGCUGGGCCACAUGCCUGUCAUUCCCUCCAGUACUGAUCCUCUUGAUUCAGGGUGCUGCUGGCACAGCAGGAAGCAAGGCCUUGGGCUCUGGGACCAGGCGCCCUGGAGCUUUUAGGGCAAGGCCAGGGGAGGAUAGAUGAGUGCAGGUGUCAGCUUUCCUUCUGUCCUUGCAUGGCCAGGGCCCACAGCUGCCUUCUGAUUUGUGUGUAUUAUUAGGUCCCAGGGACUCCUGCAGCCUUAGCAAGUCUUACGGGGUGGGGCCCACACCCCACUUAUUGGAGGGCCCUCACCUCUGAACCUGAGUUCUACCCAAGCUCCUCCAGCCCAGCCCACUGCCUCUCCUAGGAAAAAUGAAGAAGGGACUAGUUCUUGCUGUACCCCCUUCCAUGAACCACCAGAUACUGUGGAGAGGACACUGGAUAUUCCAGAGCCUGGAAGGAGGUUUCAUGCCUGCCUUGUUUUUAAUGACAGGGCCAAUGUGACCCCAGCUGACAUCUGGAUUACAAAAAGCACAUUUGAUUACUCUGCAGUUUUACUUGUCACUCAGUUGUCUGCCAUCACGUAAAUACAAUGGGAACAGACUCAAAUGCUUCCCCACACAAAGGAAAAAGAUUUUCCUUGCCACAGAACAGUGUCAUCCUUUUAGUCUCUGGGUGCCACCCUACCUCACUACACCUACAGUGUCUGGUCAUUCUGGAUGUUCAUGCUGGUGCUGGAUGGAGGGUCUGUGCCCAGAAAACAGAGUUCUCUGACUGGUUCAUUAGAGCCCGUUGGGACUUUCCUGAGUGAGGGAAGGACUCAAAGGUGCUCACUGGGUGGGAAGGAUUAUGAGAAGCCAGGUCUUUGCCCUGCAGGAAAAGGCCACCUAGUCCUCUGUGCCUGCAGCAUGGUCCACCUCUCCCCACCGUGAAAACACUGGCCUUCUUCUCCCUUAGUCUGGAAGUAGCCUCACUUAACGCUAUGGCCUGAGCUCUGCCUUUGGACCAGAUGGCAGUGACUGGUACCAAGCCACCAUGGCCUAUUUUAAGGGACUAUUUGUCUGGGGUAGGAGCAGGUCCCAACUGCCCUCCAUACUCCCCUUCUCUGCUCUGGGACGAAAGGGCUAUACCACUGGGACCUUCCAUUUUGCUCACUGUCAGUAGAGGGCACAGAAGACAUGUCUGAGGGACAGGCAGGGCUUGCAGAUCCUGGAGGCUUCUGGAUUAAACAGAAAGGGACCUUUGGCUGAAAGCAUCCUGAGAAUGAAGCACAGGUAUCUUAAGAGGUAGACUAUUACAAAGUAGAGAAAGGUCUCAUAACUCCACCUUCUGCUGAAGACCUUUACCAGAUGGGCCCAAACUUUGAGGGUCUUCAAGUUUUGGUGUUUAAUGUGUGCUCCAUCCCUGCUUCUAAAUCUGAGACAGGUAAGUCAAGGGGACAGGCUCCUACCGUGCACCACCUAGCACUCUGCUGGCCAUUGGGGAAAAUCGCCUGGAAAGAGAGACAUCAGUCCUACUCAGAAGAGCUCGCAGACUUGGGGAGAGGGAAGGUACAGAAUCACAUCAGGAGUGCAGCUCAGAUGUUCAGGGCCCAUGUGACCUCUGUGGGCUGGCACAACAUGACAGAGGCUUCCCAGGGCCUGGGGAGGGGCAUGUCUGAUGGUUAUUGAAUCUGAACAAUCACUCCCCAGACGUGUGAUCUUGGGGAGUCAAUUUUGCCCCUUUCCUCCAAGCCUCCGCAUCUUUGUCUAUAAAACAAGAAAAGUAUUUGUAAGAAUAUUGUGUGGGUUAAGGUGAAGUUGUCCACGUAGCCUUCAGCAGGGUGUGUGGCACAUAGAGCUCUGGCCGUUCACCAGCUUUCAUUGUUACUUAACAAGGAGAGUGGACUCCAAGGCCACCUGCCCUGCCCUAGUUGCUGUCAUCCCUCAGGCAAGGCCUCAUGUGGAGAGGUUGUAUGCCUGAGGUGCUACCCUGCUGGGUGGGACAGCUGUACCCACUGCUGUAAGGACACAAGCAGGACCCUGCACAAGCUCAUGCCUUAAGUCAGGCUCCUUCCUUAUCCCGCCGAAGCAGAAAGGACUACAAUGUGUGGUAGACAGAAUAAUGGCUCCCAAAGAUGUCUGCGUCCUAAUCCCUGGAAUUUAGUGUGUUCGUUACCUUAUAUGCAAAAGAGACGUUGCAGAUGUGACUAAAGCAAGGACCUCCAUAGGUGGGAGAUUAUCGUGGAUUAUCCAGAUGAGCCUAAUGUAAUUGCAUGGGUUCUUAUAAGAGGGGGGGCAGGAGGGUCAGAGGUCAGAGCCAUAGGAGGAGGAGAAACAAGGGAGACAGCAAUUGGGGAGGUGCCAUGGCAGACAGGACGCUGUAGGCCAAGGAGUGCAGAGGCCUCUGAGGAAGACUGCUUCUCUGGAGCCUUCAGAAGGAACAUGGCUUUACCAGUACUUUGAUGUCAGA